GAUGAACGCUGGCGGCGUGCCUAAUACAUGCAAGUCGAGUGAACAGACGAGGAGCUUGCUCCUCUGACGUUAGCGGCGGACGGGUGAGUAACACGUGGAUAACCUACCUAUAAGACUGGGAUAACUUCGGGAAACCGGAGCUAAUACCGGAUAAUAUAUUGAACCGCAUGGUUCAAUAGUGAAAGACGGUUUUGCUGUCACUUAUAGAUGGAUCCGCGCCGCAUUAGCUAGUUGGUAAGGUAACGGCCUACCAAGGCAACGAUGCGUAGCCGACCUGAGAGGGUGGUAGGCCACCCGAGAACUUAGACACCGUCCAGGCUCCUACGGGAGGGAGCAGUAGGGAAUCUUCCGCAAUGGGCGAAAGCCUGACGGAGCAACGGCGCGUGAGUGAUGAAGGUCCUCGGAUCGUAAAACUCUGUUAUUAGGGAAGAACAAAUGUGUAAGUAACUAUGCACGUCUUGACGGUACCUAAUCAAAAAGCCACGGCUAACUACGUG
rnacentral:rRNA from 1 species